CUGACUAAUCUAAAAGUUGCCUUCUAUGAGGAGAUAACUGGCUCUGUGGAUGAGGGGAAAGCAGUGGAUGUGUUAUUCCUUGACUUUAGCAAAGCUUUUGACACGGUCUCCCACAGUAUUCUUGCCAGCAAGUUAAAGAAGUAUGAGCUGGAUGAAUGGACUAUAUGGUGGAUAGAAAACUGGCUAGAUCGUCGGGCUCAACGGGUAGUGAUCAAUGGCUCCAAGUCUAGUUGGCAGCCGGUAUCAAGGGGAGUGCUCCAAGGGUCGGUCCUGGGGCCGAUUUUGUUCAAUAUCUUCAUUAAUGAUCUGGAGGAUGGCGUGGAUUGCACCCUCAGCAAGUUUGCAGGCAAGCCACCAUGCUGCUGAACCAGUUUGGGUGAAGGAGGAGGAAACGGAGUAACAACUUGUGAAUGAACUUUUCCUGGAGCAGCUUCACACAGUGCAGUGCCAUUUCUGAUAUGAGAAGACUAAUGGUGACUAGUGGGAAAGGAUAGUGAUCCAGGCCUGGGGUGACAAGCAUCUGCAAAAGAAGUUCAGGCCACCUGCCUAGAAAUCUUCACAGAGCUGCACAGUAACAUGAGAGCUCCUAGAGAAACGUGGCUGUUACCAUCUGGAAGCUCACCAACCCUGAUUGCUCCUCAUCAGUAGCUAAGCAAUUUGGUUUUGGUAGGUCAGGUUGACUGUUGGGCUGUUGUUAUGCAGGCAUGCACUGCUAUGAAGAAGGUGUUGAAACACUGAGUAAUAAUAUUUUGGCAAUGUGCAGGAGAUUAUCAGUUUACACGCUUAAGGUUCCUGAAUUGUAUUGGGACUGUUGAUGGGAUCUGUGUGUCUAUUCCUUAACCUCGCCACAAGGCCUCGUGUUUAUAAACAGAAAGGGCUAUUUCUCCAGGGUAUUCCAAGGUCUGGUUGAUCAUAGUAUUUGGUUCACCAGUAUUAAUGUGGUGUGAUCUGGAAAGGUCCCUGGUGCUAGAAUCUUUAGAAACUCACACCUCUUUUCCUUCAUGAAAAAUGGAACUUUUGCUUCCAAGACCACUGUAGAUAUUGAUGGUUUUGCAAUUUCCUUCUCUCAUUCUGGGAAACCCAGCUUCCCUGGUUUAUAAAGACUUUUAUUUAGGCACCUGGGCAGGAAAAAGAGCCUGUUAAACUAUAGCUGGGUACCUGCAGAAAGACAGUGGAGUAUAUGUUUGGAAGGCUGAAAGGAAUUUGGUGCUGUCUAAUGAUUAAAAUGGCAGCUACAGAGCAAUAUCUGCUUCAUGUAAUAACUGCAUACUGUAUUUUUCAGAACAGCUGUGAAAAUAAGGGAGAUUGUACCUCUGACUCCCCCCACAUCAGAGGCUGAGACUGUCGGAGCAAAACAAACUGCCAGAGAGGCUUUCCCUCUUCAAACUGCAGCCAGUUGCCAGGGCCACAGGGUUAAGGGUGCUUUGUGCUCCUACAUUGAGGCCUUUUGCCAGUCUGGAGUGACUCUGAAGAUGUACUAAAAGUAGCAUCUGAAAGAGUGAGUGGGAAACGGAACUUAAGUGCACCAAGUCUUUAAAACCUACAAAGACUGUUAAAGUAUCCUACUACUGGGAUCUUCUGAUCUACUUAAAGGGAGCAAGUUAUCCAGCUGGAAUAAAUGACAAAGGAAAGUGAAUGGAAGGACUUCAUCAGCCUCUGCAUGAAGAAAAAGAAAGUCUGUCCCAUGCUCCCCAGGAGGGCACGUGGUGGUGGUGAGGCUGGAAGGGACCUAUUGGAGGAAGAACAGUUUCAGCAACAACGCAGUGCUGCGCCCCGGCAGUGCUGUGCCCCAGCAGCAGAGGGAUAGCUCAGGAGUGCAAAGGGCUACAGAUCAGGCCAUUUCCCCAGGGCUGCUUCAGGCACUCACUGAAUGUAGGUAUCAGUAAAGCACUUCAGUCAGUCUGAGGUCCAGGGAAGGUUUGUGUGAGAGUGCAAUUACAGGAAUUGGCUGCAUGUAUCCUCAGAGUUUCUUGUGUAAGAAUUCAAAGUAAAGAUCACCAGGUAAUCUGGUUUGAUCUCCUACACACCACACACCACCCAAUCACCUCUGCAUUGAGCACAGCAACUUGGAUCAGACUCUCCUGGCCUGCCUAUUCUCAGCCUGUGGCACACAAUGGUUUAGUCUCCCCCUGGAAAUAGGCUGUCCAAGAGAGGUGUCUCUAAUGUAAUUGUGGGUUUGUCCAGCGUGUUUGGGUCGUACAAUAUCUGGAUGGUAAGGUAAGCAAACUGCUACCGUAGAUGGGAAUGUAAAUUUAACUGAUAAUGUGCUUGAUUUUUUGUGAUUGUGUCAGUGGGAUUUGCACCUGACCAGCCUUAACUCAGAGGGCCAGAUUCUCACCCAUGGCUGAGGAAAACAGGAGUGCAAAGUGUCUUUAAGCUACCAGUUCUAGGGCCCUUCUGUGUCAGGCCAAUCCUCCUGUCAGGUUGUUCUUACUUGUAUCAACUGUCAACAGUCCCAAGGACCAUUAUGUCAGUUGGGGAUUACUAGGGUACUUGGAACCCCCCCCCCCCCCCCCAUGUUCCUUGUGCCAGUAACAGGGAGGGGUAACCAUAUAGGAAAUGGCUCUAAGCUAUCUGAUGGUCCUACACAGGGGAACAUCUCUUGGAAAUAAAUAAGCUAGUUUUAAGAUACUCUUGUGGUGGUGGAUCAGCAGGAAGCUUCCUAAUGCAGCAACAGAUGUAACCCUAGACAACCAAUAUCGUUUUUUUGUGGGGGUGGGGAGUUAUGUACCUCAACCAUAACAUAAUUGUCUCUGCCUUUUUCCUUUUGGCAAACUACUGCAAUAAAUUAACACUAAAUGAAAUAUACAACCAAUAUACUGUGUGUUGUAAAAUAUACCAUUUCUAGUUAGUUACUCAUCUGCAUUCUAUGCAGGUACGUACAUCUGUUGCCUUCUUUUCAGUCUGUUCCAGUUUUUCCUGAGCAUCUUUGAGAGCUUCUGAGUAUUUAUCCAGUUCAUCUUCAGUUCCUUUUAACUUCUUCUGCAGUGCCACCAGCUCAUCCUCUACCUUUUGAGAAAGAAAAAUAAGUUGUGAACAUUCUGACACAUUGGUUGCUCUGCUUAUAGAUAAGGAUAGCCAAAGACUUCUUCCUACUAUUUGUUUUAAAUUAUGUUAAGCUUUUUUUAAAGUGAUUCUAUGGAGAGAUAUCGAAUUGUGGAUUUUUCAAAGUUGCUGUGUAACUUCAGUUGUCUAGAUGCCAAGUAGCCUACACAGUUUUACACUAUUUUAAUAAACCUAACAUGGCAGCUGAGCAGGCCAUUUGGCAUUCACAUAAUGAACAUAAGAAUGGCCCUACUGGGUCAAACCAAAGGUCCAUCUAGCCCAGUAUCCUGUCUUCCGCCACUGGCCAGUACCAGGUGCCCUGGAAGGAAUGAACAGAAUAGGUAAUCAUCAAGUGAUCCAUCCCCUGUCGUUCAUUCCCAGCUUCUGGCAAACAAAGGCUAGGGACACUAUUCCUGCCCAUCCUGGCUAAUAGCCAUUGAUGGACCUAUCCUCCAUGAAUUUAUUUAGUUCUUUUUUGAACCCUGUUAUGGUUUUGGCCUUCACAACAUCCUCUGGUAAGGUGUUCCACAGGUUGACUGUGCGUUGUGUGAAGAAAUACUUUCUUUUAUUUGUUUUAAACCUGCUGCCUAUUCUGAAACCAUGCUAUAUCCAUAUUUCUAAACCGAUUUAGCAAACCUCACCUAUGAGGAAAAAUGUUUAAAAUAUUAAUUUUUAGACUGAGUGGGGACCUGAUAACAGUCUUCAAAUAUAUUAAGGGCUGUUAUAAAGAGGAUGGUAAUCUGCUGUUCUCUAUGUCCGCUAAAAGUGGCACAAGAAGUAAUGGGCUUAAUCUGCAGGAAAGGAGAUUUAGGUUAGAUAUUAGGAAAAACUAUCCAAUUAUAAGGAUAGUUAAGCACUGGAACAGGCUUUCAAGGAAGGUUGUGGAAUCCCUGUCAUUAGAGGCUUUUAAGAAAAAUAGAUAAAUACCUGUCAGGAAUGGUCUAGGUAUACUUGGUCCUGCUUCAGCAUAGAGGGCUGAACUACAUGACUUCUUGAGGUCCUUGCCAGUGCAACAUUUCUAUGAUUCUAUAACUCAGCUGUUGUAAGUAGGCAUAACUCCAUUUACUUCAAUUUAACUAUGACAACGUACACAAGUUGAGAAUCUGACCCCAUACAUCCAGGGAUUGAGUAACCCUCGAUAUUGCCCUAGUCUGAAAUAAAAAAUUAUGCUAGCACAGUGUGCUCCUCCUCAGGGAAGGCAGGGACAAGCUUAUUCCCAUCACUGGCAUUCUACCUACAGUACUGUCAUUGAAUCCCAAAAAUAAAGAAAAUGUCAUGUAUAUAUGAAAAAUGCAUUGCACCCAUAUCCCUGAGUUCAGGGAGACUCUUAAUGAAACAUACAUUUGAAACAUGUUAUGAAAAAUAAGUUCUGUGUAUGUCUUUUACUCUUUUGACUGUGUUGCCCUUGUUUAUAGUCUACAGUCCACUUGGUCUGUAUGUAAAUACAACACUGGAUCUACUGUCUCCUUAACAGAAGCAAGAGGAUAGAGAAUGAAUCACAGAAGUACAGGUAUUAAGUAGAGUAGUGUUUAGAGUCCAUAUCUCCCUUAGCAAGCACUGCUACACUUCACUUGGUAAACUGAGGCAUUGCUUGAAAUAUGUUGAAUAUGAUCAGGGCAAAUGUGUUAUCUGAAAUACAGAGGUACCAUCCAUUCACUGAGAUACAGUUAUUUUGUUAGAUUUGAUGGUAAUAACAUUAUUUUCCUAAAGAUUCAUAGCUUUAAACCACAUAUGGUUUUCCAAUGGAAGGAGGGACAUAUGGGUCAUCCAAGGUAUGUUCCAUUUUAUCUCAUUAUCACUCGACCAUACCAUAUAAAUCCACACUGUAUUCUAAAAAGGUGCUAUUUAUAUCCUGCUGGGAGACUGCCAGAUGACAGAUUCCCCCCUGCUCCCUGGAGAAUUUCUAUUAUCAAGAGACUUCUUGCUGAUAACAUAACUGGUGUGCCUGCAGCCUGUCUGAUCUGUCAUUGAACUCGUAGUACCACCUUUGUUCUAUUCUAUCCUGGGAAUAGUAAUUAAUUGAGGAGAAUGAUGGUUUAACUCAUCCUUUGUAUAAGUUCAGUCUAUUAAAACAGUUAAUUUAAACCA